rnacentral:rRNA from 1 species
GCUCUGAUUUGGUCAGCGGCGGACGGGUGAGUAACACGUGGGCAACCUGCCCGCAAGACCGGGAUAACUCCGGGAAACCGGAGCUAAUACCGGAUAACACCGAAGACCGCAUGGUCUUUGGUUGAAAGGCGGCCUUUGGCUGUCACUUGCGGAUGGGCCCGCGGCGCAUUAGCUAGUUGGUGAGGUAACGGCUCACCAAGGCGACGAUGCGUAGCCGGCCUGAGAGGGUGACCGGCCACACUGGGACUGAGACACGGCCCAGACUCCUACGGGAGGCAGCAGUAGGGAAUCUUCCGCAAUGGGCGAAAGCCUGACGGAGCGACGCCGCGUGAGCGAAGAAGGCCUUCGGGUCGUAAAGCUCUGUUGUGAGGGACGAAGGAGCGCCGUUCGAAGAGGGCGGCGCGGUGACGGUACCUCACGAGGAAGCCCCGGCUAACUACGUGCCAGCAGCCGCGGUAAUACGUAGGGGGCGAGCGUUGUCCGGAAUUAUUGGGCGUAAAGCGCGCGCAGGCGGUCCCUUAAGUCUGAUGUGAAAGCCCACGGCUCAACCGUGGAGGGUCAUUGGAAACUGGGGGACUUGAGUGCAGGAGAGGAGAGCGGAAUUCCACGUGUAGCGGUGAAAUGCGUAGAGAUGUGGAGGAACACCAGUGGCGAAGGGGCUCUCUGGCCUGCAACUGACGCUGAGGCGCGAAGCGUGGGGGAGCAAACAGGAUUAGAUACCCUGGUAGUCCACGCGUAAACGAUGAGUGCUAGUGUUAGAGGGGUCACACCCUUUAGUGCUGCAGCUAACGCGAUAGCACUCGCCUGGGGG